GACGAACGCUGGCGGCGUGCUUAACACAUGCAAGUCGAACGGUGAAGGGACCGGUUUUUGCUGGUUCUGGAUGAGUGGCGAACGGGUGAGCAACACGUGAGUAACCUGCCCCCUUCUUCUGGAUAACCGCAUGAAAGUGUGGCUAAUACGGGAUAUUCUGCGCCUGCUGCAUGGUGGGUGUGGGAAAGAUAUUGUUUCGGUGGGGGAUGGGCUCGCGGCCUAUCAGCUUGUUGGUGGGGUGAUGGCCUACCAAGGCGGUGACGGGUAGCCGGCCUGAGAGGGUGGACGGUCACACUGGGACUGAGACACGGCCCAGACUCCUACGGGAGGCAGCAGUGGGGAAUAUUGCACAAUGGGCGCAAGCCUGAUGCAGCGACGCCGCGUGAGGGAUGGAGGCCUUCGGGUUGUAAACCUCUUUCGCCAGUGAAGCAGGCCUGUCCCUUUUGUGGGUGGGUUGACGGUAGCUGGAUAAGAAGCGCCGGCUAACUACGUG
rnacentral:rRNA from 1 species